rnacentral:rRNA from 1 species
UGGUGGGGUAACUUGUCUGCUUAAUUGCGAUAACGAACGAGACCUUAACCUGCUAAAUAGCCCGCAUUGCUCCGGCAGUGCGCUGGCUUCUUAGAGGGACUUUCGGCUCAAGCCGAAGGAAGUUUGAGGCAAUAACA